CAUCUAGCACUUUCUUUUCUGAAUAAGUAGAUUAUUGCUAGCAUGAAAAUGAUGUGUGGUUUGAGUAGUGUGAUAAUAUAUUUGUCUGAUUUCCACUUUGCUGGUUUUCCAAUUCUACAUGAGAUUACCAGUUCAUAAUACCUGGUGGAGAUUUUUAUUUGAGACCCUACAUGUUUAAGACAUGGCAAAUUAUAUCUGAAUUAUGAGCUUUCGAGGCUGGUUAAUGCUGUGUAAAGUCGACGAUCGAUGAACCGAAGUUUUCAGGUAACUAAUUACUUGUCUUUUUGGUUGAUCACUUUGAUGCAAAUGUCAAGAGACCUAUUCUCAGCUGGAAAGGUCUUCUGACACUCGAGUACUAUGCAGAUUUCUUCUAAUUGCCUUCCUAAUCAUCUCCAGCAAAGGACAGUAGUUUUCAGAAAGAAAAGUAGCAGCAUUGUUCUUGGCUUUGCUAUGAUUUACCACUCACAGCAAAAAGCUAAUGUCAUUUUGCUUCCAUUCUUGAAAUGUGAUGUACAAAUGUUGCACUUGCAGUUUUCCAUCACAACCUUUUCCAAUAAACAAAUCUACUUCACCAGAAUUUAGUAGUUCUUAGCCUUCUUUCUUUCCUGUUUGGCUUCAGUAUCAGGCUGCUUGCUCACUCUGAUGUUAUAACCAUAAGAUUGAUCCAAAUAUGCCUACAAAGAUAUGUGUACAGGAUGUUCUUUUCGGCUGUAUCUUUGUUUGUCUGGAUGACAGGAAUGUUAGUAAACCAGAGUGUUCAUCCCAACACAGGAAACAGUAGGGAGGAGGUUUUGUCUUGUUCUUGGACACCAGCAUCUUGAAGACUCUUUUUGACUCCAUUUCCUGUCUUCCCAAAGGCACUGACACACCUCACUAUCCUCUUCUCUUGUUCUUGAAAGACCAGAUGGAACCUACAAGGUUGUCCAGGGCAGUAGCUCAACAUCCAUCAUUAGCAUUCUGAAGGUGAAUGAUAUAAGCUGUGCUUGUUUCCAUCUUGCCAUCAGAAUUCGAGUCUCAGGCUGAUGAGCAGAAAAAGUGAUCUGAUAUCAAUAGUCAAGGUUGAAUGAGUUUCAAAUUAAACUCUCACAAAUCUGACGUCCGAACGAGCUUAUAUCGAUCAGAUUUCAAGUAAACUGAUACAUUUCUGCAAUCCAUGAACAUUUGAAACAGUUGCAGGUCUUGAAAUGGUGAGGAUGCUUCAUCAAACUUGGAUCAAACCUGCUUAUUGAUGCUUCAUCAACUACGUGUUCAAAGGACACAUGAAAGGAUGCUGAAAAGGGUGGGAAGAAAGUUGAUGCAUUAUUUCUUCAGCAAAGAUGCAGCAGCAGCAGCAGCAGGAACGAUGAUUGGGUCUUCCACCAAUCUGUCAUGGAAUUUUUUGAGUACGGAGUAGACCAGGAGUUGACAUCUGCUACCCCAUCUCUGCACUCUCUUCUGUCUGUGUUGAAUAGGCUCAAGCACCAUAUGGUAGAAUUAGGCCUAAAAGACCAAAUCCUUUGUGCAAACAGAUUGAAAUCAAGUAGCCUUCUUCUUCUUUUUUGUCUCAGCCAAUAUAUCGAUUUCCAGUAAAGCAAAACUUUGGUAUA